AUGAGACAAGACUUACCAUUGCACCAGUGUUCUACAAUACACAAGUGGAUUUGAUGGGUCCCUUUGAAGCCCGAUGUGAACACAAUCAUCGUAGUAAGGUCAAGGUAUGGGUGUGUUGUGUUCAAAGAUCCCGCAACUUCAGCUGUUUUUGUGCAUGCUAUGCAGAAAUAUGAUACUGGAGCAUUUCUGGAUGCAUAUACUAGAUUCACUUCAAGAUUCUCUCAUCCUAAUAAGUUAUACAUUGAUGAAGGAAGCCAGCUAGUAAAAGCAUGUAAGGAGAUGAAAUUCAAUAUAUUGGAUAUCACAAAAUCUCUAAACUCCAAGGUGAUGACUGGAAUUGAAUAUGUGACCUGUCCUGUUGGCGGACACAAUGCCCAUGGAAUGGUAGAAAGAUCCAUCUGAGAGAUCAAGACGUUGUUUACAACUGUGUAUUCUGGUCUGAGACUUGACAUCAUGAGUUAUGAAACAGCCUUUGCAUGGACAUCAAAUGAAUUGAAUAAUCUUCCUUUAUGUCUAGGAUCAAAGUAUGUCAAUCUUGAGCACACAGACCUCAUAACCCCCUCCAGAUUAUUGUUUGGUAGAAACAAUAAACGAGCACCUUCUGGAUUUUGUACCCUUGAUAAACCAUCAAGACUUUUAGAACAAAUGGAGAUGGUGGAGAAAUCUUGGUGGCAAACUUGGAAACAAGAGAAGCUGUCUGAUUUUAUCCCCAAGUUGUCAAAGUGGAUUACAGGAGAUGAGUAUAAACCUAAACCAGGAGAUAUUGUUAUCUUCACCCGAGAAGAGAAUGAUCACCAAUUAGGAUCACCAGUGUGGAGGACUGGCCACAUUCAAUCAGUUGAAAGAUCAGUCCCAGACUUUCAUUAAAGGAGAUCUAUACCCUUAUAUUUACAGGGAAAAUGUUCUACCUUCUGCAAAGUGUACUUUUAAACCUUUGAAUCUUCCCAAGAUUGGUAAACUGCCCUAAGCUGAAACCUUAAUAUAGGUAUAUCAUUUAACACUGAAUUAACAAACUAAUCAAGUAUGUUGAAUUUGCUGAUUUAGAUAAUCAGCCUAAACAGUUAAAUCAUUCUACUAUGAUGUCAAAGUCUCCUACUAAGAUGUAGCAGAUUGGAAUUAUCACCAAGAUAAUCAGCUAAUAUACUGAUCAGCUUCCUACCAAGUUGCCCAAUUCUCCUACUAAGAAAUAGUGAACCAGAGUUAUUAUCAAGAUAAUCAGCCAGCACAAUUGAGCAACCUUCUACUAAGAUGUACAGUUAGUCAAUCUUCCACCUAAAUAUUCCAGUCUUCUACUAAGAUGUA